CUUAUCUAGACUUCAUCCUGGACCACCUUUGUUGCUUGUAUCACAGUUUCCACCUUGUUUCUUCCCUCUUAUCAGCCUCUGCCAUGACCUAGUGCUUAGAAAAACAAAAUUCUCCCCAACUCUUUCCAUGGCCAGUACCACUUGGGAAAAAAAAGAGUAUUGCUUCCUAAAGAUUUCUUUGUCCAGUUAUCACAACUCUGUGGCAGCUAUUAGGAGACAGUGAAAAAGAGCCAUCCCACCCCGCCUCUGGCCUCAGAGGACCUGUGUUCAACUGCUGCUUGUGACAACUACUAUCUGUGUGAUUUCAAGUAUGCCAAGUAAUCCUUCUGAGCCUGAUUUCCUUGUAUAUACAAUAAAGGGUGGCCUCUGAAUUCCUAUUCAGUUUUAGAUCUAGGAUUCUAUGAUCUUUGCAAAUGGGUUAAUAGCAGGGUCCAGCUACAUCGGUUUAUGGGAAAAAACAGCACCUGUCUUACCCUGACACACUGGUGUGUGUCCUCUGCAGAAAGACGAAACCUCACAAAAUCUCUGUGCACUGAGAAUAUUUACAUUUCAUCCUUGAGCCAAAGUGGGGCAGGUCUAGGGUAAGCUGUACAGCUGUAGCAAAAGGCCAUGAGCCCAUAAGUAAUGGACACACACAGCAUAAUUGGCAGGGCUUACGCCUACCAUUAGCUGCUCCUGGUGGGAGGAGGGGGCCCUCGCCAGUUAUGCAAAGCUAGAGCCCACAUGGUCCUGGAUAAACCUUACACUUCUUUUGGAUUAGGAGAAGGGAAAGCAAGCUUCACUCAUGCGGUGUCCUUUCUGAUUUCAUUUUGAACUAUAAGCAGCCCGUGUUGAGGGAAUAGCCUGAUUUAAAAAAAAAAAAGUCUUUCGUGGAUGAGAACAAAGCAGAGGAAGGAACAUUUACUAAGCCUCAUGCAAGCCGCUGUCGGGGUACACAAAAGCAGUCCAAGACUCUUUGCUUUCUGGGUGUUUCCAAGAAAAUUAGAGAGCCUGAUUGGCAUGGGAGGGGUGACAUGCAACGUGCAGGAAGAACAGAAUCAACUGGGCCAAUGGUGUGCAAAGUAAGGGGAAGAUUCAGGCUGGGCUCGGUUAGUCAGGAAAAUCAUCCAGGAGCAGAGGAAUCUGCUGAGCCGGGUCUUAAGGCAGGAGUUUGGGGAUGCUACUGAGCACAGUCCGGGCUUUGUCUUUGGUUCACAAAUAUAUACCCUGGCAUGGGAAUUUACCUGGGACCCCAGGGAGGAGCACUGACAGCUCUGCAUCGACCCACACUCCCAAAACAUUGAUCAAGCUGUUACGGUGGAUGAGGAAACCGAGGCACAGAGAAGUAAAAGGACUUGCUCAACCUCUGCCCAGUGAACUGAGAAUCAAAGGAAAGAAACAAGCAUUUAUUAACUGCCUACUAUAUGCUAAACUCUUUACAAAUAUCUCAUU